GACUCAAAGAAAGCAAAACUAAACUCUAAAACACUAAAACAAACCUAAAGACUCAAAACAGCCCAGAAACACUUAAAACUGCCUUAAAACCACAAUCUGGGCAGUUUUGAACAAUAAACACAACUUGGACGAAAAUUGGUUUUAACUUGACUUAAGACACUUGAAAACACAAACUAAAGUGAUUUCUAACUACUAUGACUCAACAAAAUAAAGGGGGAUUGAUUUUGGACGAAUUUAAAAACAAACAAAACUUUGUAAACUAGAGUAGAUUUUAAAACAAAUUUGUUGAAAGAGAAUGGAUGGAAGGCUAGCUAAGGGGUUCUUCUCCACACAUGUCACACUUGCAUACAAAACGAUUUCCAAUUGCUUCUCAAUAAACCAUGAAUUCUCAACGCCCCAAGUUAAUUAGGUCCGCUUAAAUUAACCCUCAGAUUUUCCAUAAGUUAUUGAAUUGGAUGAAUUGCAUACAACAACCCAAAGCAUUCCCCACAAGUUCCCUACAUGAAAGCGCAUAAUAGAGAUUCAAGCAAGGAUCAUUAAGUUCUAUGAAAAUCAUAAGCAUUGACGAGGCACUCGUAACUAUGAAAGCGCAUGAAACUUAUGCCAAGAAUUCACUUAACGCAAUUGUGAUCAA
rnacentral:lncRNA from 1 species